AGCCCAACUUUGAAGUAGAGUUGAUCAGUACGAUCAUCUGACCAUACUAAUGUUCUCUAUUUCGAAUUUGGGCUC
rnacentral:pre_miRNA from 1 species